AGGGCACCACCAGGAGUGGAGCCUGCGGCUUAAUUUGACUCAACACGGGAAAUCCCACCAGGCCCGGACACCGGAAGGAUUGACAGAUUGAGAGCUCUUUCUUGAUUCGGUGGUUGGUGGUGCAUGGCCGUUCUUAGUUGGUGGAGCGAUUUGUCUGGUUUAUUCCGAUAACGAGCGAGACUCUAGCCUACUAAAUAGUGACCGGAUAGCUUGGUCCGGGUCACUUCUUAGAGGGACAAGCGGUGUUCAGCCGCAAUAAGUUGAGCAAUAACAGGUCUGUGAUGCCCUUAGAUGUCCGGGGCUGCACGCGCGCUACACUGGAGGAAUCAGCGUGCUUGACCCAUUGCCGAAAGGCAUUGGUAAACCCUUGAAAAUCCUCCGUGAUCGGGAUCGGGAAUUGCAAUUAUUUCCCUUGAACGAGGAAUUCCCAGUAAGUGUGAGUCAUCAGCUCACGUUGAUUACGUCCCUGCCCUUUGUACACACCGCCCGUCGCUGCCCGGGACUGAGCCGUUUCGAGAA
rnacentral:rRNA from 1 species